rnacentral:rRNA from 1 species
CCUACGGGUGGCAGCAGUGGGGAAUUUUCCGCAAUGGGCGAAAGCCUGACGGAGCAAUACCGCGUGAGGGAGGAAGGCUCUUGGGUUGUAAACCUCUUUUCUCAGGGAAGAAAAAAUGACGGUACCUGAGGAAUAAGCAUCGGCUAACUCCGUGCCAGCAGCCGCGGUAAUACGGAGGAUGCAAGCGUUAUCCGGAAUGAUUGGGCGUAAAGGGUCUGCAGGUGGUAGUGAAAGUCUGCUGUUAAAGAGUCUAGCUCAACUAGAUAAGAGCAGUGGAAACUACACAACUAGAGUACGGUAGGGGCAGAAGGAAUUCCUGGUGUAGCGGUGAAAUGCGUAGAUAUCAGGAAGAACACCGGUGGCGAAAGCGUUCUGCUAGACCUGUACUGACACUGAGGGACGAAAGCUAGGGGAGCGAAUGGGAUUAGAUACCCUAGUAGUC